ensembl:lncRNA
AGAUGAGUGAAGGUGUUACAGUUAGGAUGAUUGUUGACAUGAGGCUCUCAGAGGUUCUCCACAAAUCUGAAGGACAAGAUUGAGAUUGCCAUUCUUAUGGUCUUUCCAUAGUCUCCCCUUGCAAUCAGAAUGGACCAUCACUAUGGACCUCAUCUAUUAGAUGCAGCUAUGGAGAAAGAACCCUUUGUCCAUCAUCUUCACCGCUGGAUGUGUUUAUAUUUGUGUCGCAGACCUUGAGCUUUUGAGUCUCCAAGGGGAAUCUUGGUCAUGUUACUACAGGAUGUGCAGUGGGUCUCCUUGACUGUCUUCUGUACAUUGACAAAACAGGUUGUCUAGCAAGCCUCUGGACAGGCAGCAUGGCAGAAAUCAACUCUUUCCAAAAAAAAGGCUGCUGCUGACACAGUGGAUAGAGCACACACAAGCUCCCUGUCUGACUCCUUCAGCUCCUGCAUGUCUCCUUGGCUAACAUUUCAGAGCUUCUGAUUCUUCAGACAUCAGCUUCUUGAUACUGAAGAGAUUGUUCUACCUGAUGAGCCCAGGCCUAGAAGAUGGACUGCAUCCAAGAAGCCUGGUCCAUCUAAGGCCAAGUCACAUCUUUAAGAAAUAUUUGAAAGCAUUUGUGCACAGGAUAAAGGUGCAAGGACCAAAGUCUCCUUAGACUUUCCAGCAUACAGAGGGUCUGACAGACUCAGGUCAAAGGUUACGUCUGAAGCCUAGAUCAUGAAGAAGGCCCCACUCCACAGUAGAAGCCUGUGGCUGAUGCUGUUGCAACCAGGACUAUGAUUGUGAAACUUUUGUCUGUUCAGGAUAGCAGGUUCAGGAAUCUUGUGCCCAGGUAUCCACAGGCCUUUUUUCAUACAUUUCUUGGUAUAAUUUUGCAAGUCCUGACUUUGGACAUGUCGGGUGCUGAUGGUAUCUCACUUGAUAUAUAGUCCAAGAAAGAUUUUUACCCCUUUAAGGGGCUGGAAAUAGACUGGCCUCACAGUUACCAUUAAAACUGAAGUUCUGUCCUUUGUGGUUAUUGGCCCUUUUAAAACUUGUUUGACUGGA